AGUUGCUACUAUUCUAAUCGCAAAGUCAAGAGUUCCUUCUUUUCUUAGCUGCCUUCAGUGCCACAGAACUAUCUGGGCCUCUUCCUCUACCCCUCCUUGUGUGAUCGCUCCUUUCAAAAGCAACAGCCAAAGCAGAUGCAAGGGAGAUGCAUUGGUGCUCAUAAAUUCAAGGAGCUGAAAUGGCAACAGCUGUGGCAAUUUCAGGAUUUCAGCAGGUAAUCAAAAGAAUUGGCAGAGAGAAAACAAAGUAAGGAAAUCAAAUAUAAAUUCCCAGUGCUCCUAAUAUCUCUUGGAAAGAAAAUGGACACCUCUGUUAACAAAGUUAUGAUGAUUUCUACCUCGGUACACAUUUUCGAACUUCUCAGAGAGGAACCAGCUCACCUAGCGGUCCUUUGAGAGCAUUAGCACUCACACCCCAUACAACUAGAACUCAUGACACUGGCAAAUGGUGUUUCUAGAGUGCUUUGCAUUGCCCGACAUGUUCUCACCCUGUUUUCUCCCCAAUCCUUACAAUUCUCCAAAUGCAAGUGCAAACUGGGGUGCUGUCAAGCAGCCUGGUGCUUAAAGGGCAGAGCCAGGAUGGACCCAGAUUCUGGUUUCCACCAUGUGCCUGAUGGAUACCAUGCGGAUGUGGAGCAGGAAACACUGGGUGCAAAUCCCCACCAGGAACUGUUCAUCCUGAAAAAAACCUGCUGCACAUUGCCCUGGUCACCUCAACGAAAAAUGGGUCAAAAUCAAAGUUGAUGAUCAGUCAUAUGAUCUUCAGCAGCCCUGGAAGGGUGUGAGUUCUCGGCAUCCCAUGCAGGAGCUCUGAAUGUACAAGAGGUGCUGAGGAGGGAGCAUGCGCCGGUGCCAAACGCUGGAUGACCUCACUAUCCUCAUGGAAAAGGAGGUGAAUACCACUGCCUUCUUUCUGUGUCCAAGCAAGUUAUGACUGGAAUGGAAAGUAUAGCCACCCGGGGCUGUCAGUACCCCUACCUACUCAAUUGCAGACAUGUUGAUACAGAACAUGAUCAUCGAAUUCCAGUGAAGCCACAGUGAUGGGAGUCCAGCAAGAGUAAAAGCAAGUAGAAGGAAGAAGCCCAGAAAAACCAAAGCGCCUAAGGCCCAUGAAAGCUGUAAUGACUCCUUACCAUGAAGAUGCUAAAGGUUAAGAUGCAAGAACACGAGUGUCAAGUUCUGGUUCCAGACUACAUGCUCGUGGCCACUACACUCUGCUGCUGCCUCAUAUUCUAUAUGCCUUGUACACUGUAACUCCACUGAAGUGCUGGUGGUGGUGGCGUGUGUGUGUGAGAGGGAGAGAGAGAACUGGGGCAUCGGGAGGCCCCUAGCCCUCACACCUACCAGCCCAGCCACUGUGCAGAAUGCAGGGAUGAGUUGUUUCAUUUCAGGUGUUCACUCUGCUUUUUGCAGAACAUAUUGUCCCUUGAAGGAUAUUAAUACAGGAAAUGAAUAAAGAGUGGCUUCAAAACAAA
rnacentral:lncRNA from 1 species